UAGAGUUUAGGGGCACCUUAGCCUUCCAGU
rnacentral:piRNA from 1 species